GUGUUGAAACAAUCUCUGCUG
rnacentral:miRNA from 1 species